rnacentral:lncRNA from 10 species
AAAAGAAGUCCCACACUCAACAGCAACACAGCUAACAAAGGUGGAAACGAUGGCCCAGGAGGAGAGAGGAUGGGCACAGGAUUGGGAGAGUCCCUGUGUCCCCUGAGCAAAAUUUCUAAAAGUAGAUACUGUUUAAAAGGGAGGAAAUACAUUUGACAUUGUGGCUGUCAUGAGUGCAAGAGAAAGUGGUCAGUGGAUGGUGCUAGGAAGCACCAUUGUUCUCAUCCAUAACUGACUCUCACCCAGCUUAACCCCAGGACCUCUUCCUAUAAGGCUGGAACCCCACUAGACCUUUGCCUCCAAGGGCCGCCCUGAACUUUCCUUUUCCUCCUUUUUGGAAGAGAAACUCGGAAAUGCAUGCGUUUUCAUUCGGAGCUUGCUAACCAUCCCUCAGUGCUCUCACAUUUGGGUGCUGAUUUGCGUCUCUGCACUUAGCAUCACGCAAAAUGUAGAAAUGACCACUUUUUCCUGAUGCCCAAGAAAAACUGGCUGAGAUGCAGGAGUAUCCCCAAACAGGAACUUGUGCCUGAUCAAUGUGAGCAGUGUGAAUUUGGUCCUCCCGCUCCGGAUGAGCUCAGCUUCACUCCAGGGUCCUAUGAGAAGUGAGGGCUGGAAAAUCUCUGUGUGAGAAACAGUAUCACUUGAGGAAGUCUUAAGGCUUCUUAGAGCAGUUUCAGGUUCGAAGCAAAAUUGAGAGAAACAUAGAGAGAUUUCCCAUAAACUCCUGCCUCUGCACACAUGCAUCCUCCCCCAUGAUCACCUUUGCCCACUAGAGUGGUACCUUUGUCAGAACUGAUGAGCCUACACGGGUACAUCUUUAUUAUACAGAGUCCAGGGUUCACACUCGGGUUCACCCUUGGGCUCAAUGUGUUUCAAAAGUGCUGCACAUUCCUUGGGUUUGACCAGUGUAUAAUGACAUGCAUCCACCACUAUCGUAUUGUACUGAGUCGUUUCUCUGCCCUAAAAAUCCUCUGUGCUCUACGUAUUCAUCCUUCUCUACCUAGUAACCCUUGGCAACCAUUGAUCUCUGUAAUGUCUCCAUAGCUUUGCCUUUUCCAAAACACCAUAUAGUUGGAAUCACACAGUAUGUCACUGACAUUUUUUGGAGCAAGGAUUUAGUGACUAUUCCUUUCUACUAGGAUAGACUGCUUCCUUGCCUACAUCUUCUGCUGUGAGACAGCUUCACAGUCAUCUCCAUUUUGCUCUUAAUGUGGGAAGAGUAUUCCCAUUUCUCACCAUCUGUCCAAGAAUACCCAGAGAUGCCUGACAACUGAAAACAGCUUAUGUUUAAUAGCUUGAUAGGCUACGAUCUGAUGGCACGACUCCCUAAGGAGGAUCUGAUCAGAUCGCUCAUAUGAAAAUACAUUCAGUUCUGCUAUUCACUUGUUUUGAAAAUGCAAAUUUGUUCCAAUGCAAUUGGUGUAUUGGAGAACAAUUCAAGCAGAAUGAGAAUUUCAUGUUUGUGUAUGCAUGAUUUCAUCCAUGAAAAACACUAGGUGAGCAGAGACAACUGCACUUAGCUGAAUCCAGCUGCCCAGGAAGGCAUAAAACAGUCACACACUCACACACACGCACACGCACAGACACCCCUCAACAUCUGCCAGCCACCUCAGUUCACUGACAAUGUUAUGAGCCACACCCAUGCACAUUUGGUGUUAACAGCUUUCUGUUUGAUUUCCUUUCUUUUCUGUCCCUCCUGAUAACUCUCCUUCUACUGCUUCAGAAUAACUCAUAAGCUAUAAUCCUUCUGAUGCCCACUUCCACAAGCAAACUUCAGAUAUUUUUCAAGGUACAGUGCCAUAUUUAUUGUAGUAUUUAUGUAUUUCUUAACCAUUUAACAAGUGUAAAGCUGUGCUACAGUGUUUAUUAGGUUCCUUCUUUUUUAAUGUGUCAGCUGACAACGUUUCUAGGUGUUGUGCCCAGGACCCCAUAAACCUAGUAGUUUGUUGUUGUGUUUCUUUAUUUUUUUAAUUAAUUAAUUAAUUUAUUUUUGAGACAGAGUCUUGUUCUGUCGCCCGGCUGGACUGCAGUGGCGCGAUCUCGGCUCACUGCAACCUCUGGCUCCUGAGUUCAAGCUAUUCUCCUGCCUCAGCCUCCCGAGUAGCUGGGACUACAGGUGCAUGCCACCAUGCCCUGCUAAUUUUUUUGUAUUUUUAGUAGAGAUGGAGUUUUACCAUGUUGGCCAGGAUGGUCUCUAUCUCUUGACCUUGUGAUCCGCCCACCUUGGCAUCCUAAAGUGCUGGGAUUACAGGCAUGAGCCACGACACCCAGCCAAACCCAGUAGUUUUUUAUUACACAAUUCUGUAGAUUGCAGCGAUUUUUAGGAACACAUGUGGCACUCCAGCAGCAGAAAUGACUGUGUAUGACAGGAUGCAAAAAUGGAAUUCCUUUUCUCUAGGAUUCCACUGAGAGUCUAAGAUCAUUUAUGUGUCAACUUCCUCAUUUGCAAAGGAGUUAGAAAAAGAAUCACUUUUUUAUUUACUCUUGCAUGGGCAAGUACUAAAGUUGAAGAUGGAAAUUUAUUUGGAAAUUGGAGGUGCUAAAGCAAAAUAUCCAGGAGGCCAUUAGCCUGGGGUUGGUUCUGUACCUGGAACACUUACACAGGCAAACCAAAGUUCAACUUGGAAGCAUUUCUUGAAACUGAUUAUUAUUAUUUUUUUGGGGGGGGGUUGGGAGUGGUGGGGGGGAGACAACAACCAAUAAUCAGCCAAUCAGAAACAGCCAACUAGCAACCAGUCACAACCAACUAGCAACCAAUCAGUGAACUAGCAACCAUUCACAAACAACCAACUAGCAACCAAUCACAAACAGCCAACUAGCAACCAAUCACAAACAGCUAAGUAACAACCAGACACCAGCAGCCAACUAAUGAUUAAUUAUAAAAAGCCAACCAGCAACCAAUCACGAGUAGCAAACCAGUAAGCGGUCACUAACAAUCAACUAGUAGUCAAUCACAAACGGCCAACUGGGAACCAAUCUCAAACACCCAGCCACAAACAGCUAAUUAGCAACCAAUCACAGGCAGCCAACUAGUACUCUAUCACAAGCAGCCAACUAGCAACUGGUCACACACAGCCAACUAGCUGUUAGUUAUGUAAGUAGGGACUUUUCACAAGAUCAUACUCAAAUGAGGCCUGGCUGGAGUCAGUUGAGUAAUUCCUUUGUUUUCAUGGUCAGCCUGCAAAAGCUUGCUGUUCAGUCUGCUGGAGCAGAGCUCUCUGCAUCUCUUCUGUGUCUGAGUGCUGCCCGAUUGCUGAAUGCCUUAAUGCUCAAACUCUGUAAAAUUUAUUUUGUCUAAACUUUUUCCUUUCAUGGAAACUUUCUUUGGAAAGAGUAACUUGAGCACCUGGGUCCCUAAAUCUCCCUUCUCUGGGAGAAGGAUGGGUGUACUGUCCCCUCACAUCAUGCCUGGUAAGAGGAGCUCCAGGCCCCUGCUACAGCUGACUGUGCGUCCAUGGAGCUUGUGGUUACACAGUGGAGCAGUGCCUGCCUCACAGCUGAGAAGAGCCAACAACCCGGCUCCAGUGAUCUGAAAUACAUGACCAACACUAAAUUUUGUGUAUUUGCCACAACUGCUUGAAAGAAUCAUUUAGAAUGGUGUCACAGGUCCUGAGAAUAGAGAUGAUGACUGAAGAGGGUUGUGGACAAGAUGUAAGGACAUAAGUAGAGGGCAGAGAGGACACAAGAUGCCACGCUCCUGGCUGUGAAGAUAGGGUAAGGGACCACAAGCCAAGAAAUGCAGGCAGCCUCUAGCGGCCGGAAAAGGCAUGGAAACAGCUCCUUCGCUUAUCUUCCAGAAGGAAUGCAGGACUGCCUACACCUAAUCUUAAUCGAGUCAAAAUAAUGUCAGACUUCUGAGACCUCCAGAACUGCGAGAUAAUAAAUUUGUGUUGUUUUAAAACCACAGAAGGCGUGGUGAUUUGUUAGCCCAGCUAUAGAACACUUAACACGAAUCAAGGGUGGAAGCAGAGGAGAAGGGGAAGAAGGGGGAAAGACCUUCAAUUCGUCUUGGAAAGUAAGGCUCACAGUCAACUGCACACUGAGUACAAAUUUACCUCCAGGGACUGAGGCCAACCUAGCUCAGGACCAGGGCAAAAGCACCUUGAAGUGCUGAGACCAGUCUCAUCAUAUCACCACCAAUAGCACAGGGAGGCUCAAUUCCAGCAGACACACCCUGUGACUCCAUUGAUGACACAGUCUGUCUGCAAUUGGCAAACUCUUCUUUGUCUGUGAGUAAAAUGAUGUUGUUUACAAGCAAAGUUGAAAGCAUGAAAGAUUUUCGAUAAACUCCUCAGGGCUCAUUACAAUUGGAAUCAAUUUUAUGCACUCUGGUUUGGGUAGCAUCCUUCUAUGAUUAGAGGGUGGAUGCCAAGCAGCCUAUCGUGUUAAAAAUAGGAAAAAGACUAUAGGAUUGUCUAAGCAGAGUGGAAAAACAGGCUGAAAGAGUUCAGUGGGUUUGUGUAACUUUGUCUUGUAACAAAGUCAGCAAGUGAAAAGCUAGGGAAGGUUUUUUCCUCCUCUUCUGCCUCAAUUUUCUUUUUUUUUCUGCCUGAAUUUGAAUAUAGAUUUCAUCUAUUUAAACAGAAAUACAGUCUAUCCUCUUUGUAUACUGAUCUCUUGUAUUCCCCGCUUCUUCACUUUUGUUUCUUCCUCAUUACUUACAAGCAGGAUGGAAGUCAGGUAGAGCCGACUGCAUUCCAAGUCCUUCACUUUCUCUUCGGGUAGCUGGGCCCUGGGUCUGGCAUCUUGUGAAUGUAAAAUGAAGGUUGCCUUUUGUCUGGUCCUUCUUUCGUAUAACAGAUCAUAGUGAUUGGCACUCGUCACACACACAUUUUUAUUCCAGAGUAUAGUCUCAGAAAAUCCUGCUGAAGGUUCAAGCCAAGAAGACACUUCUAUGCCAAUUAAUCCUAAAACCACCCUUGCAUAAUUAUAAAUAAUGAGAGAACUCUAACAUGACCAACUCCAUCUUGCUUUUAACCUUAACUGCUCACUUGUUUUUGUUUUGCUUAUUAUAGUAGAGAGACCAAUAAAACUAUGAGAGGAAUGUAGUCAUAGUUAAACUUGGAGUCAAGGGAAACUGAUCCCCUUUCUUGUCUGGAGAUUAAAGGUACAUUCAUAAAACAAAAUUAGAAUUAUGGUAGGGGAUUAAACUUCGCUAAGGACUAGGAAGCAUUAAUGACUUGCCAUUGCUUAGUGAUUAUUAAACUCUUUCUUUGCUGCAAUAACUGUUGUUCUUGGGCCAGGCAGGGAUGGCUCAUGCCUGGAAUCUCAGCACUGUAGCAGGCCAAGGCAGGAGGAUCACUUGAGCCCAGGAAUUGGGGACUAGCCUGGGCAACAUAGUGAGACCUCGUUUCUACAAAAAAAUUUUAAAAAUUAGCUGGAGGCUGGGCGCAAUGGCUCACACCUGUAAUCCUAGCACUCUGGGAGGCCGAUGCAGGUGGAUCACCUGAGGUCAGGACUUUGAGGCCAGCCUGGCCAACAUGGUGAAACCCUGUCUCUACUAAAAAUACAAAAAAAAAAAUGGCCGGGUGCAGUGGCUCAUGCCUGUAAUCCCAGCACUUUGGGAAGCUUAGGCAGGCACAUCAUGAGGUCAAGAGAUCGAGACCAUCCUGGCCAACAUGGUGAAGCCCCGUCUCUACUAAAACUACAAAAAUUAGCUGGGCACAGUGGCCCCUGCCUGUAGUCCCAGCUACUCGGCAGGCUGAGGCAGGAGAAUCGCUUGAACCCAGGAAGCGGAGGUUGCAGUGAGCCAAGAUCGCACCACUGCACUGCAGCCUGGUGACAGAGUGAGACUCCAUCUCAAAACAAAACAAAACAACAACAACAAGAAGAAAAAUUAGCUGGGUGUGGUGGGGUAUGCCUGUAAUCUCAGCUACUUGGGAGGCUGAGGCAGGAGAAUUGCUUGAGCCGGGAGGCGAAGGUUAUAGUGAGCCAAGAUCAUGCCACUGCACUCCAGCCUGGGCGACAUGCAACAAGACUCUGUCUCAAAAAAAAAAUAAUAAUAAUAAUUAGCUGGGUAUGGUGGUGAAUGCCUGUAGUCCCAGAUAUUUGGGAGGCUGAGGUGGAGGUUGAGGCUGCAGUGAGCCAUGAUUUCACCACUGUACUCCAGCCUGGAUGACAGAGUGAGACUCUGUCUCAAAAAUAAAUAAAUAAAUUAAAUACCUUCCAUCUCACUGGCUUUUUCAGGGAGGCAGUGGAAGAACCUGUCAGUCUGUGACAAUCCCUCAAUAUUGGCUAUCAGUGACUUUUAUGGUCUGGAUGGUCAAAGAGAAAAAUGGCGCCAGAAAAACCCAGCAUGUCCCUAUUUAAUUAGGAAAAGGGGAAUUAGUAUUACUGUAUGCCUACUAUUUGCUAGGUACUGAUUAAAGUGUUGGUUACUUAGAAAUAUUUCAUUUCUUUAUCAUGUUCAUAGUUCUACCAAAGCGUAGAUUUAAUUGUCAAAUAGCACAAUCUCUAGCAACUGGUAUAACUUACGCUAUUAAUAAAUGCUAGGUCUUUGGAAUACGAGUGGAGUUUGAAACUUUAUUUUGCUUUUUAGAAAGUGGUGGAUUUCAGACAAUUUUCUUAACCUUUUCAAGCCUCAUUUAUUCAACUGACCUUUUACCCAGUGUCUGCAAUGGAUCUACCACUGGCCUGUCCUGAAGGGGUAACAGAUAAAAGACAAAGUCCCUUCUUUGCAGAGAAAACCAUUAGCCUUUAGUUUCUUCCAUGUCAAAAUUUGAAUAGUACCCAUUUUGCAGUGUGUUGUGAGAAUCAAAUGAGAUAAGUUUUUAUGAGAGUGCUUCACAUUUAGAAGAAACUCAAUAAAUGUUAAUUUCUUGCUUUCCCUAGCGGCAGCCUAGGGGGAAGGAAAUUUUUCAGCUGGGAAACUUUUAUUUGUGCUUCUCAAAUAAUAUUAACACUGCCUUGGGGGUGAGUGGUUCUGAAUAACAAGCAUGGGAACAAUAUUAGAAUGAAGGUACCUCCAUGGAUUGGUGAAAAUUGUAGUGAGAUUUUGGUCAAUAUUCAACAUUUGACAGUAACCUUAUUAUAAGAAUAAUUCUAUUAUAUUCAGUUUUAUUGUUUGGUGAGAUGUGCUGAAGCGUAACCUCACUGAUGGAGACAAAGUGAGAGAUAGUAGUGAUUUGGAGUAGAAUUAACAGAAGUGUGUAUUACUGAUCCUGGGCUUAUUAAAUGGUCUGUUACAGCCAAUGCAGUAACUCCUGUAAGAUGUGCUGAUAAGAGUAGAGUAAUACUGUGACCAUUCAUUCGCAAAUGGUAGGACCAAAGUUCUCUCUUUUUUUUUAAAUGGAGUUUCGCUCAUGUUGCUGAGGCUGGAGUGCAGUGGCGCGAUCUCAGCUCACUGCAACCUCCGCCUCCUGGGUUCAAGCGAUUCUGCUGCCUCAGCCUCUCUAGUAGCUGGGACUACAGGCAAGUGCAACCACGCCUGGUUAGUUUUUGUAUUUUUAGUAGAGACGGGGUUUCACCAUGUUGGUUAGGCUUGUCUCGAACUCCUGACCUCAAGUGAUCCACCUGCCUCGGCCUCCCAAAGUUCUGGGAUUACAGGUGUGAGCCACCGGGCCUGCCCUGGACCAACGUUCUUCUAACAGGACGAAUAUGCUUAACUCGUAUGAAACUGGACUGCAGUCUGCUCUAAAGGUGUGCCUCCUUCUUUGGCGAAUUUAUAAGGAAGUCCCCACAGCCCUCAGGACAGAGACUGAACAAGGGAUGUGACUGCUGUGAAUACUCCCAGCCAAAGGCCAUCAGGACACCCGGAGUUGAACAAGGGGUUAGAAAUUGCCCUGAAGGAAGAGGUGGACAACUCUGCCAGACACUGGGAAGAUCAGUGCGGAACACACGGCCAGGAUCCAGCCAGUCAGAACUGACUCCCCCAUCAAUCACAUCUUUGCAGAAAAAUCUACACCAGAGCUUGCUAGAUUCCUAGCGGGAUCACGAGUCCACCGGGAGAAAUGAACAACUCCAGACGCGUGGUCUUAAGAGCUGUACCACUCACCAUGAAGCUCUGUGGCUUCACUUCUGAAUCCAGGGAGGCCACGAACCCACCAGAAGGUAGAAACUGUGAACCCGUUCAAACAUCAGAAGGAACGAACUGGACACGUUGUUCUUAAGAAGUGUAACACUGAUCGUGAGGGUCUGUGGUUUCAUUCAUGAAGUCAGUGAGACGAGGAACCCACCAAUUACAGACACAGUAUGAUGAACCAAAAACCCCAACACUUCCCUGCCAUAAAACAGGAAUCAAAUGAGGCCAGUAACAAAGACAGUUUGAGUCCAGGGCACUGAGUGAAGGCACUAGAUAUGCUGGGACUCAUCAUUGCUUUGGAACAGGGACAGGAUCUGGGUACGAAGUUUCUACCGCUCUUGUGGUGGGGAGUUGGGUUGGGCAUCACUUUCAUACGGCGAGAGGAAACGGUGGUGUCAUCUAUGUUAGCACUGGCUGCAGUGGAGCUUAAAAAACAUGUUGCAAGCUCUCACAUGGGUUCAAGUCUGAAUUUCCACUGCUACGUGGUCUGAAAACUGCAAGCAGGAAUUUACAUUUAAAGCACAUGGAGUCUAUAGUAUCCCCAGGUACUUCAGAGAAGCAAAUAUCAAUACUCCCUCGAGGAGUAAGUCUUCAAACAAGGCUUCCAAGCACCCCACAGGGUUAGUGGCACCAACUUUUAACUACUGUAACUAAUAAGGAGAAGCCAAGGGUACAUAUGAAGAAGUUGUUUAUGAGCAUUUGCCAACAAAAAAAGACCUGCAAAGACGUCAGAUACUGUAAGAACAGAAUACAGAAUAUAAAAUGGGUAUUCUUAAUAUGUUUCAAUGAGUAAAGGCAGAAAUAAGGUGAAGAGUCAGGAUGAAGGGAUCACCGAAGAUGAGCAGACAAAUUUGGGCAAAACUAGAAAUGUAAACUAUAAUAAUUGAAGUAAAAAGAAAACUCAAUGGAAGGGUUAAAAAAUUGCUGGAGAUGAGAGAACAAUUAGUAAACUCAGUUAUUCAAAAAUUAUACUAUUACACAAAGAGAUCAAUACAUUAAAAAUAGAAAAGUUUAAGAGACAAGUAGAAAAUCCACCGUACAUAUAAUCAGAAUUUGAGAGGCAGAUUGUUGAAAAAAAAUGCAAGGAAUAAAUUUUUUUUUUUUUUUUUUUUUUUGAGAUGGUCUCACCCUGCUGCCCAGGCUGGAGUGCAGUGGUGUGAUCUCGGCUCACUGCAAGCUGUGCCUCCCAGGUUCAAGCGGUUCUCCUGCCUCAGCCUCCUGAGUAGCUAGGAUUACAGGCACACGCCACCACGCCCAGCUAAUUUUUGUAUUUUUAGUAGAGACAGGGUUUCACCAUAUUGUCCAGGCUGGGCUCGAUCUCCUGCCUCGGCAUCCCAAAGUGCUGGGAUUACAGGCGGGAGCCACUGCACCUGGCCAAAAUAUUUCAAGAAGUAAUGACCAGUGUUUCUGGAAUGAAUGAAAGACCCAAAUCCAUCGUGUGUCUUUCAUUCCAUUUGAUUUCUCAUUUGGUUUUUCUUUUUGCAGCUGGGAAGUUUCAGGGUUAUUGGCUCAUCAUAGUACCAAAUCAUGACAGAUCCAAAGAAAGACAAAUAAAAGCCAGUCAAUAUUAGGACAUAUUAACAGUGCAACAGCAGAACAACAUAAACAAUAAGGGAUCGUGAAAGAAGAGACACUUUGCCACCGGGCGUGGUAAAUAAGCAUAUGUAAAGAUGAUGUCAACAUCUUGUAUCACCAAGUAUUACAAAUUUUUAAAAAAGGAAAUAGCACUACACACCUAUUAAAAAGGGGAGCAGGCAGGGUGUGGUGGCUCAUGCCUGUAGUCCUAGCACUUUGGGAGGCCGAGGCCGGCAGGUCACUUGAGGUCAGGAGUUUGAGACCAGCCUGCCCAACAUGGAGAAACCCCGUCUCUACUAAAAAUACAAAAGUAUUCGGGCGUGGUGGCAGGCACCUGUAAUACCAGCUACCUGAGAGGCUGAGUCAGGAGAAUCGCUUGAACCCGGGAGGCGGAGGUUGUGGUGAGCUGAGAUUGCGCCACUGCACUGCAGCCUGGGCAACAAGAGCCAAACUCCGUCUCAAAAAAAAAAAAAAAAAAAAAAAAAAAGGGUGAGCAUCCCAAACACCAAUGCUGGCAAGAAUGUGUAGCAAUAGGAACUCUGAUUCAUUGUGCUGGGAGUGGAUGUACUCAUAAAAUGGUACUGAUACCAUGGAGGGCAGUUCGGUGGUUUCCUAUAAAACUAAACAUUCUUUUACUACAUAGUCCGGCCAUUAUGCUCCUUGGUAUUUACCCAAAUGAACACAUCAAUGUUUAUAGUAGCCUUAUUUGUAAUUGCCAAAGCUUAGAAGCAACUAAGAUGUUGUUCCUUAGGUUAAAAAAGAAAAGAAACUGUGGCACCUCCAGACAAUAGGAUAUUAUUUAGUGCUAAAAAUAAAUAAGCUACCAAGUGACAACACCACAUGGAGGAAUGUUAACUGCGUAUAAAUGACAGAAACAAAAACCAAUCCGAAAAGGUGAUGCACUGCAUGAUUCCAGUCAUGUGAUGCUUCGGAAAAGGCAAAACUAUGGAAAUGGUAAAAAGGUCAGUGGUUGCCAGAGGUUAAGGAUAAAGAGAGAUGAUUAGGUGGAGAACAGAAGAUUUUUAGGAUAGUGAAACCAUUUUGUCUGAUAAUAUAAUGGUGGAUAUGUGUGAUUAUACAUUUGUUAAAAACCAUGGAAUGUACAACCCUAAGAGAGAACCCUAAUAUAAACCAUGAAAUUUGAAUAAUAAUGAUGUAUCAUUGCAGGUCUGUAGAUUUGUCAAAUAUGCACCACUGUCGUGGGGGAUGGUAGUAGUGGGGUAGGUUGUGUGUGUAUAGGGACCAAGGGUAUAUGAGAACUCUCUGUACUUUCUGAUCAAUUUUGAUGUGAAGCUAAAACUGGUCUAAAAAAUAAAGUUUAUUAAAUUACAAAAAUCUAACAGGGUUAAAAGGAAAUGGGAAAAUUAAUUUAAAAAUGUAUAUGGGCCAGGCGCGGUGGCUCAUGCCUGUAAUCCUAGCACUUUGGGAAGCUGACACGGGCGAAUCAUGAGGUGAAGAGAUCGAGAUCAUCCUGGCCAACAUGGUGAAACCCUGUCUCUACUAAAAAUGCAAAAAUUAGCCAGGCGUGCUGCAAGGUGCCUGUAGUCCCAGCUACUCGGGAGGCUGAGGCAGGAGAAUCACUUGAACCCGGGAGGCAGAGGUUGCAGUGAGCCGAGAUCGCACCACCGCACUCCAGCCUGGGUGACAGAAUGAAACUCCAUCUUAGAAAAAAAAAAGAAAGAAAAAACAUGUAUAUGGCAGCAUAAAUAUCAAGAACAAAUGGGAGAAACUCUUCAAGUGGAAUGAGGUGGGAACAUAUCCUUCCUCAGACAUCAAGACGCAUUAUAAUCCAUAGACUAUAAGACAGUGGCACUAGCACAACAAUAGACCAACAGAGAAAAGAAAUUUGUUAGAUUGUCUGGAAAUAACACAGUGAAAGUGUGGAGGUUUGAUAAGUGGUGAAAUUAUCCUGUAUGUGAAUGGGGAUAAUAUGCGCUAGUCCAUUGAAUUAAUCGUCUCUCUCUGACUGUUUCUCCCUCUCACUUUCUUUCUGUGUGUGUGUGUGUGUGCAUACAUGAGUGUGUGUGCAUGCGUGUUUGAUGGGGACAGGAGGCAGGGAAACGCUGGGUAGAAGAAGGUGGUUCUUCAGCAAAGGCCCCACCUUCAAGCCUGGAAACUGUGGCUCUAAAUGAAAACAGUUAUCUCUGUUUUCCCGUCCAAUUGUUGCUUUAUUCAAAACCACCCUGGCCCGCCACCCUCAUGCCCCUCCCCCCCUGACCCCGCAUCCUGUACUCAUAAAACCCCCAAACCCCAGGUUCAAUGAGCAGGAGGGCGGCACAGCAGCAGAGCAGCAGAGCGGCAGAGUGGAGAAGGAGAGAAGAGAAGUGUCUGAACAUGGGGAGGAGUUUGGCUGGGGGCGGUCAUAGAAGAGAUUCGCCAUGAGAUGGCUGAACUCCAGGGGACAAUCAUCUUCCCACUCCAUCCCCUCUCCACCUCCCCAUCCCACUGAGAGCCACCUCCACCUCUCAAUGAAAUCCCUGCAUUCACCAUUCUUCAAGUCCAUGUGACCUGAUUCUUCCUGGAAGCUAGACAGGAAUUCAGGAUUCCUGUACCAAUUCCAUUGGGUACAGGAACCAAAAAGACUGUCACGUUGACUCUUCACUGAGCUGUUAAACACUUUAGCUUUCCCUGGGUGGCAGGGCUAAAGGACAUUGUAAUACCCCUAGCCACUGCUGGGGGGUCAGAGCCCAAAUGUGCUCACCCCAGCUCACCUGUGUGCUCUCCCUCCCUUAAAGGGUUUGAACACGCACCAGCCGAAUAAAUGAGCCACAUGCCAUCACAUGUUCCGCGAGGGGUCAGAGAACUCUCCUGUUUCAUGUUGACGGAUGUUGUAAGCAUUAAUGGUUUUAAAUGCAAAAGGAAAACUCGGAAAUGUUAAAGAUAGUAUAGAAUAAUUUCAUUAUGGCCUUUGAAUAGGAAAGUAUUUCUGAAACAGCAUGUAAGAUGUACAAGCCACAAAAACAUCUUGAUAAAUUUGACUACAUUAAAAUUAAAAACUUCUUUUAAUCGAAAGAUACAAUAAAAAAAGCAUAAGUGAUACACAUGCAGGGAAAAUAAUUUUUUUCUUUUUUUUUUUGUGAUGGAGUUUUGCUCUUGUUGCCCACGCUGGAGUACAAUGGUACGAUCUCGGCUCACCGCAACCUCCCUGUCCUGGGUUCAAGCGAUUCUCCAGCCUCAGCCUCCCGAGUAACGGGGAUUACAGGCAUGCGCCACCACACCCAGCUAAUUUUGUAUUUUUAGUAGAGACAAGGUUUCUCCAUGUUGGUCAGGCUGGUCUCGAACUCCUGACCUCAGGUGAUCCACCCGCCUUGGCCUCCCAAAGUGCUGGGAUUACAGGCAAAAGCUACCAUGCCUGGCCUAAUUUUAAAAAAUACAUGAAAUUAAUGAAGCAUUAUGAUCCAGAAUAUAUAAAAGUAUAAUAUAUCAGUAAAUCAACAAAAAUGGGGAAAAGAUGUGAAAAAAUUUCACAGUAGAGGAAAUAACCUGUUAGAAAAAUCUGUAAAAGGUACUAACAAGUACUUUACAGAACAGGAAUAUAAGUGGCCAGUAGAUAUAUAUAAAAAGAUUCUCAAUUCGUAAUAAUCAGUAAAAGGCAAUUUAAUAUUUAAUGAAAUCUCAUGAUACACCUAAUACAUAGGUAAAUAUGACCAGGAUAUAGAACAAGGAUGUCCCUGGGGCAGUUGCUAAGAGUGUGAAUUGGUGCAAUGACUUUCAAAAUCAAUUUGGCAUUAUCUUGUAAACUGAAUGUGAGUAUGCCCAAUUCUAGUAUGUGCUGUAGGAAAAAUGUCUACCCCUUUGCACAAGGAAUCAUACAAAAUAAUGUUUCUAGGAGCAUUGUUAAUAAUAGCAAAAGACAAGAACAAAACCUUGCAAGUAACCAAAUGUCUAUUGGGUCUAUUUGUGGGAAAAUGGAUAAAGAAAUUGAGGUUUAUUCAUGAAUUGGACACUAUAUAAUGGUGAAAAUGAAUAAACUUGAAUUACACAUGUCAGGGUGAUCGAAACUCAGAAAGUUAAUACAUUGUGGAAGCAAGUUGUGGAAAGAUAUGCAGCAUGAUACUGUAUUAUAAAUUCAAAGCCAAGCACACUAGGCAGUGUAUUAACAGCUGUGCAACACGUAUGUGAAUGGAACUCUUGGAGAAAACCCAGGGCCAGGGAUGAAGUAACAGAAGCGAACAGGAGCUUCAGAGAUAACAGUGACGUUCCAUGUCUUAGUGUGGGUGAAGGGGUCAAUGGUGUUUGUUUCAUGAAAAUCUAUCUCUAUCUGCUAUCUGUCUGUCUGUCUGUCUAUCUAUCUAUCUCUCUAUCUAUCUAUCUUCUAUCUAAUCUUAUCUAUCCAUCCUAUCUACAGAUGUAUAUGUUUGUGUGUAUAUAAAUAUACAUCUGUCACAAACAUUCUCUUAUGUGUAUCAAAUAUUUUCAUAAUAAAAACAUUUACAAAAUCUCCUACUCUUUCUAGUCCUGUUAUUCCAUAGUUUCCCCUUCUGUGUCUUGUUUUGUAAACUUAAUGUGUGGGCCAGGUGCAGUGGCUCACGCCUAUAUUCCC